AGAGCCAAGCCAUGUUUUGAAUCACUUCUCAUCUUAACGCGUGGCAAGAAGUACUAAAACAAGAUUCCAAGAAUUUGCUGCUGAUAUAUACGAGAUAACAGUUAACUUGGUAUAGCAAAGAAAAUGGAGAAAACUGUCUUCCUGACUGUAUUAGUACUUUGCACUCUUUUUAUCUGUCUUAGUGGAAAAGCUAUAAAGCGCCGCGAAGAAAUACCUUUGAAACGCCGAAGCAUUGGCCAAACCACAACAUGUACUUGUUAUGGAAAAACAGGGUAUUUUGUAUAUUUUGACGUGCUUGGGAUUUAUGGAAAAAACUACAUGCCCAAAUAAGAACCAUCCCUAUGCCUUUGCUUGUCAUCAUUCGCUGUUUGGCCUCUGUUGCUUACCGGCAGGACAAUGAACCACGCGGAAGUUCUAAAGAGGUGCCUAAAUUUAAAAACAAAGUUUGAUUUUAAAGACGCAAUGCAGUCUAGAAGCACCCGUUAUCUAUAAUGAGUAAAUAUAAAUGGUAAUACAGAUUUUGGUUACAAGCCUCGCUGCUUGCUUGCUUGACUGCUUGUUUUCAUGCUUGCAAACUUGACAAAGAAAUUCCCUUAUUCUAUGCUAGA